UAUGAGGUUGACCAUGUCUCUCCCUGCCAC
rnacentral:piRNA from 1 species